rnacentral:tRNA from 3 species
GCGAAGGUGGCGGAAUUGGCAGACGCGCUAGACUUAGGAUCUAGUGGGUUUUCCCGUGCGGGUUCGACUCCCGCCUUUCGCACCA